rnacentral:rRNA from 1 species
UACAGGGGGUGCAAACGUUGCUCGGAAUCAUUGGGCGUAAAGGGCGCGCAGGCGGCCGCUCAAGUCAGAUGUGAAAGCCCCGGGCUCAACCUGGGAACUGCAUUUGAUACUGAGUGGCUAGAGUUCGGGAGAGGAGAGUGGAAUUCCCAGUGUAGAGGUGAAAUUUGUAGAUAUUGGGAAGAACACCGGUGGCGAAGGCGGCUCUCUGGACCGAUACUGACGCUGAGGCGCGAAAGCGUGGGGAGCAAACAGG